UGGGAAUCUUGCACAAUGGGGGAAACCCUGAUGCAGCGACGCCGCGUGGAGGAAGAAGGGUCUAGGCUCGUAAACUCCUUUUUCAGGGAAAGACUUAGGACGGUACCCUGAGAAUAAGCUCCGGCUAACUACGUGCCAGCAGCCGCGGUAAGACGUAGGGAGCGAGCGUUGUCCGGAUUUACUGGGCGUAAAGAGCACGUAGGCGGUCUGUUAAGUGAGAAGUGAAAUCUCCAGCGCUCAACGCGGAAACGGCUUUUCAUACUGGCAGACUUGAGGGAUGCAGAGGCAAGUAGAAUUCCUGGUGUACCGGUGACAUGGGUUGAUAUCAGGAGGAAUACCAAUGGCGAAGGCAGCUUGCUGGGCAUCAUCUGACGCUGAGGUGCGAAAGCGUGGGUAGCAAAC
rnacentral:rRNA from 1 species